UCCAUGAUUGAUCACCAUGAAGAAGCCCCAAUCCUGACAUGCUUUGCGAAGGUCAUGAAUGAUUUUGGACCGUUGAUCAGGACUACUUGAAAUAAGAAGAGAGUAGUCUAUGACAGGAACAGGCUCUUCUGUGUCUGAAACUACUUGGUCAUGGGAAUUGAGGGUGAAAGUGUGAGUGGAUGGGAUGUUGGUGAGACCAGGUGACUCAACUAGUAGUUUGAUGAUGCUAGUUAUUCUCUUGGAUGGUGUUGUAGGAGAUGCUUGGGUGGCAACCAGUGGAGCUGUUUCAGCCAUGGGGGCAGAGAGAGAAAGAGAGAGACACACACACAAGGCUGACUGCUGAGUGAUUUAGAUUCUGGUGAAACAGUGAUCAAUUAUAUGCAAGAAGUAUUGGGAUACAAUUGCAUAACAAUAAAGAAAGCUAAGAAGUGAACUCAGUAAUGUAAUCCGUCAAUUGUUGAAAAUAAUGAAAGAUGUUGGAAAUCUGUGGGGAAAAGACAAAUUAUAUAUGUGAUGGCUGCCUGAUUUUUAGAAACUGAGAUGUUUGGCAUCAAAGUUAUUCCAUAAAAGAAGAAAGUGAGAGAGCAUCUUGGAUAAAAUUUGGAUAAAAGAACACCACAGGUACUCACCAG
rnacentral:misc_RNA from 1 species